CACAGACGUCCUCUCCAGUGCCAGCCAGGCCUUUCGUCCCCAAGAGCCAACUGCCUGAUGGGCAGCAGUGUGUGUGUGUGUGUGUUUACUCCUCUUCCUCUCGUCCUGCUCGUGUUUCUCUUUUCGACGAGGUCGAGUGAUUCCGUGUUGCAACAAACCACAGCGCCGCGAAGCCUUCAGAGCCUCGCCUCCGGUAGCCCAACCCCCAGCCCUCCCCGGAAGACUUCAGAUGCGAAUUGGUGCCGGGAAUCCUGCAGUUUAUUGGUGUAAUGCUUUGCAUUUUUCAAAAGACCUUUUCACAGCCCGCCAGAGGAAUGGAUAUGAAGGAAUAAAAAGAACCAAGACAGGCGUGGGGAUGCAAGGGCUCAACACUGAAUCUGGGAACUCCCACGGCUAACUGGUUUGAGCAGAGUCCGUUAAGUGGUGUUUUCAACUGUUGAGACAACUCAAGUACUGAAAAAGAUUGUAAUUUAUUCGUUAAAAAAAAAAUUUAAUGGUAAAAUAUGGGAGCCCUUGACAAGGUUGUCAUCCUUAAGUCAUGUAAUCAAAACUACUGAGGUUAAGUAUAAAAUUCUUAGAAAAUGA